rnacentral:rRNA from 1 species
GACAGAGGGUGCAAACGUUGUUCGGAAUUACUGGGCGUAAAGCGCGUGUAGGCGGCUUGGCAAGUCGGGUGUGAAAGCCCUGGGCUCAACCUAGGAAGUGCACUCGAAACUGCUUCGCUUGAGUGUCGGAGAGGAAAGCGGAAUUCUCGGUGUAGAGGUGGAAUUCGUAGAUAUCGAGAGGAACACCGGUGGCGAAGGCGGCUACCUGGACCGGUUCUGACGCUGAGGCGCGAAAGCGUGGGGAGCAAACAGG